rnacentral:rRNA from 1 species
UAAUCGUACCCCAAACCGACACAGGUGGUCAGGUAGAGAAUACUCAGGCGCUUGAGAGAACUCGGGUGAAGGAACUAGGCAAAAUGGUGCCGUAACUUCGGGAGAAGGCACGCUGGCGUUAGGUGAAGUGGUUUACCCAUGGAGCUGAAGCCAGUCGCAGAUACCAGCUGGCUGCAACUGUUUAUUAAAAACACAGCACUGUGCAAACACGAAAGUGGACGUAUACGGUGUGACGCCUGCCCGGUGCUGGAAGGUUAAUUGAUGGGGUUAUCCGUAAGGAGAAGCUCUUGAUCGAAGCCCCAGUAAACGGCGGCCGUAACUAUAACGGUCCUAAGGUAGCGAAAUUCCUUGUCGGGUAAGUUCCGACCUGCACGAAUGGCGUAAUGAUGGCCAGGCUGUCUCCACCCGAGACUCAGUGAAAUUGAACUCGCUGUGAAGAUGCAGUGUACCCGCGGCAAGACGGAAAGACCCCGUGAACCUUUACUAUAGCUUGACACUGAACAUUGAGCCUUGAUGUGUAGGAUAGGUGGGAGGCUUUGAAGUGUGGACGCCAGUCUGCAUGGAGCCAACCUUGAAAUACCACCCUUUAAUGUUUGAUGUUCUAACGUUGCCCCGUUAUCCGGGGUGCGGACAGUGUCUGGUGGGUAGUUUGACUGGGGCGGUCUCCUCCCAAAGAGUAACGGAGGAGCACGAAGGUUGGCUAAGCAUGGUCGGACAUCAUGCGGUUAGUGCAAAGGCAUAAGCCAGCUUGACUGCGAGAGUGACGGCUCGAGCAGGUACGAAAGUAGGUCUUAGUGAUCCGGUGGUUCUGAAUGGAAGGGCCAUCGCUCAACGGAUAAAAGGUACUCCGGGGAUAACAGGCUGAUACCGCCCAAGAGUUCAUAUCGACGGCGGUGUUUGGCACCUCGAUGUCGGCUCAUCACAUCCUGGGGCUGAAGUAGGUCCCAAGGGUACGGCUGUUCGCCGUUUAAAGUGGUACGCGAGCUGGGUUUAGAACGUCGUGAGACAGUUCGGUCCCUAUCUGCCGUGGGCGUUGGAAGAUUGAAAGGGGCUGCUCCUAGUACGAGAGGACCGGAGUGGACGCACCACUGGUGUUCGGGUUGUCAUGCCAAUGGCAUUGCCCGGUAGCUAAGUGCGGAAGAGAUAACCGCUGAAAGCAUCUAAGCGGGAAACUUGCCUUGAGAUGAGUCUUCCCUGACCCUUUAAGGGUCCUAAAGGAACGUUUAAGACUAAGACGUUGAUAGGUUGGGUGUGUAAGCAUAGCGAUAUGUUGAGCUAACCAAUACUAAUGAACCGUGAGGCUUAACCUG